AUAUACAUUGAUGCUUUCCUAUUCAGUGCUUCUAAUGGUUUUUAACUUUUCCAUAGGAAAUUUGGAACAUGGGAAUUUUCCAUAGAGAAUUUUGAGACCUCCGUUCUGUAAUCAUAUCAUUCUAGAAUGUCAUCCCAAUUUUUUCUUAAGGUUAAGAGCCUAUACAUUAUAUGAAGAAUGCAUAUCAUCAAAUAUAUUCCCAAUAAAAAUUUUUGGAGGAAUGUUCUUCUUAUAUAUUACAGAUGCCCAAAGCACAGCUCUUCCAAUGAUUGUAGAAGAUAUUCCAAUUCUUUUACUAUUUAAAAUAUUAAAAGUGAAUGAAGAUGGGAAACAAAUAACACCGCCAGACAGAGCGUCUCUGCAGAAAAGACAGAUUCUAGAAGAAAGUAGAGGAAAGAAGCAAGAAGACGAGCAUACAGCAGACAAGGGCCGGAAGGAGGGG
rnacentral:lncRNA from 1 species